rnacentral:rRNA from 1 species
UGGGGAAUUGUUCACAAUGGGCGCAAGCCUGAUGACGCAACGCCGCGUGGGGGAUGAAGGUCUUCGGAUCGUAAACCCCUGUCGAAUGGGACGAAAGACUCGCGAGUGAAUACUUCGCGAGAGUGACGGUACCGUUAAAGGAAGCCACGGCUAACUCUGUGCCAGCAGCCGCGGUAAUACAGAGGUGGCAAGCGUUGUCCGGAUUUAUUGGGUUUAAAGGGUGCGUAGGUGGCCCUGUAAGUCAGUGGUGAAAUAUCUCAGCUUAACUGAGAGGGUGCCAUUGAUACUGCAGGGCUUGAGUACAGAUGAGGUAGGCGGAAUUGACGGUGUAGCGGUGAAAUGCAUAGAUAUCGUCAAGAACACCGAUAGCGAAGGCAGCUUACCAAGCUGUAACUGACACUGAGGCACGAAAGUGUGGGGAUCAAACAGGAUUAGAUACCCAUGUAGUCCCUGAGCGGGCUGGCAAGGCGCAU